rnacentral:rRNA from 1 species
UACGAAGGGGGCUAGCGUUACUCGGAUUGACUGGGCGUAAAGGGCGCGUAGGCGGUUUGUACAGUCAGACGUGAAAUUCCUGGGCUCAACCUGGGGGCUGCGUUUGAUACGUGCGGACUUGAGUUCGGAAGAGGGUCGUGGAAUUCCCAGUGUAGAGGUGAAAUUCGUAGAUAUGGGGAGGAACACCGGUGGCGAAGGCGGCCACUCGUCGGACGU